UGAUAAGCUCAAAAUCUGCAAAGUAGAUGAGCAGGCUGGAGGCGCAAGGAAGAGCUGGUACUGCAUCUCAAGACCAGAGAAAAAUCCAUUUGGUACCAUGGUAAAGAAGGAAGGUGAGGCUGGAUACAAAAAGGACAAACAGAAGAUGUUGACCAUAUCAAUGACAAGGGCCAACAUAAGAUGAGGAAACUGAAACAUACAGAGGUUAAAGAAGCUUCUUCAAGAUUGUUAGAAAGUCUUCAUGGUUUAUAUUUUAUAUAACACGAUUUGACACCGAAACCAAUGCUCCCAACCACUAACCUAUGGUGCAAAUUGGAGAGGAAUAAAGAAAAGGUUAAUGCCAAACUACUGGACAUCAUUCCAAAUCCAAGACAUAUAUAUGUACUUACAAGCUUUUGGAACAAUAACGACAACAACAACAAGAAUAAAUUGUCAAAUCAAACUUGAGACAGGAGGGAAACGUUUCAUCUCUGGUGACUAUUCUGUGUACUCUUUCCUUUUUAGAUCUGCAGCUUUAUAGAUUUCAGAUCCUCAGGUAGUGUUUAGAUCAAUCCCAACACAUGAUUUGCAGCAGUGGGAUCAGUUCCAGUACUUCACCUUCUGUGGGGCAAAUUUUCAUCCCUGCUUUCCAACAGUCCAUACUCCUGAAGACACAUCUCUCUCACUACUUUACAUUCCUUCCCUACACGGCAAGCUCACUUCUAUGUUUGGAGCAGAGGGGAUGAAUCAAAGUGUGAAUAGUUCAUCCUGUGAGCAGAGGGGAUGAAUCAAAGUGUGAAUAGUUCAUCCUGUUUAAACUGGAGGUCUACACAUAAAUUUUAAGCUACUGUUUUUCAGUAAAUUCUUCAUGCUGCUCUUGGGAAAGAAAACGUAAAAUAGGUAAAGAGGAGUGAAGGGGGAAAAGGGAUAAGGGAAUUUAGUGUGAGAGAGAUUUACUCAAAAUGGACUCCCAAACUAAAUUUGUGAUUAUUUACUAAAAGAUUUAUUCUUGAAUUUGAGAGAGAGAACUUAUUUUUAUAUUUUCUAACAUCUCCCGGGAAGGAGUGGGACACAGAUCAAUCAUUUGUUAGACACUGUCACCACGCUUUAUCUCAUACUUAACUAUUAAAGAAAACAAGAAGUGUUAAAUGUUCGCAGCAUUUUAAUGUUCUGUUAUCUUGGAAAAUUAAGAGAUAGAAAGAUGGAGGGAGAUGUGUGUGUGUGUUAUAAUAUUUUGCUUCUUUCAAGUUGUUUUUAUUUUGACAACUCAUCCAUAAAUAAUGUUCAUGAAUCAAUAUUCUGGAUUAUGAUUAUAUCAAACUUUUUAGACGUUAUCAACAAUUGCAAACAGCUCAACUUUUGUUGCAUAUCAACAAAUGGCACUCAAUAUUUUAACUUCCUACUUACCAGUGGUCCAUAAAGAUUGUAGUGAGAACAGUAUGAACAUUUUCAAAUGGGAUCAUGGCCCAAUUCCACUUUCCUUUUAGCUACCACUUUAUUAUUUUGUAUGCUAUUGCUAUUUUUUACCUGCAUUUGUGUUAUAUAAAUUGACUUAACCAAAAUACCAGGACUUCAUUUUAUUUUCCUGAACAAAAAUGCAUAGUAUAUAAAAAGAUGCUUAACAUCAUAUAUUAUUAAGAAUCUGCAAAUUAAUAUAACAAUGAGAUACUACUACAUGCCCGUUAGAAUGGCCAAAACACUGAUAUCACCAAAUGCUGGCAAAGAUGUGAAGCAACAGAAGCUUUCAUUCAUUGCUGGUGGAAAUAUAAUAUCAUACAGCAACUUUCAAAGGCAUUUUAACAAUGUUUUGUACGCAAAGAACAAAAUACGUUUUAUGACUCAAUCUGUAAUUUGAAAUCAUCUCCAUGUGAGAAUACAUUUAUUUAUAAUGUCUCAAGUACCCUUUUUGAACCGUAUUAAUAUUUUCAUUAAAUAUCUUCCUUGUUUCCUGAGACAUACAUCCUGAGGACUGUAGGAAUGAUUUUUCCAGAAACCACCAAGUAUACCCCAAGGAAAGCAAGUAACCAUUUGACCUUUGUAAUCUAUGUCUACCAUAAAAACCUGUCUGCUUCAAAACGUACUCAUUCUCAAAAUUCCUGAACACACAUUGAGUUUCAUAUUUGAAAUCAUGAUAUUGUAGGGAAUUGUCCUAAUCCAACCUUUUUCUUUCACAGAUUCCUCUGAAAACUAUAUAAAAUAGAAAGAGAUGGAGAAAUUACUGCAAAGGUUUUAUGUCUCAAAGUCCCUCACCACAGGUGGAAUAAUGAGUUUUUCUUGGCUAUUCACUCUUUGACAUAGGCUCAGACAUUUUUCUUCCAGCACAGCACAGCCCUUCCCCCAUUAUCAAGGAUCCAAUUCUCUAGCCCCAUUACCACAUACCUGAGUGACAAGAGCCUGACAAUCAUUGUUCUUCCUGCAUAGAGGUCAGCAUGCUAGUUUUAAAACAGAUGCCUAAAGCUGGCAUGGGCUUAGGGGGAGAAAUCAGGGUAGUCACUAUGCCAUUCAUCUUCUUACUCUAGCUCCUCUGCUUCUGUCUGAGCUGGAGCCUAGUAUCAGGCCCCUAAUCCUUCCUUUCUCUUAUUCACUGAUUAUGUAUAUGUAUGGAUUUGAAAAUAUUAAUCUAAGAUGGCAACAGAACAUAUAGCAAGCCAGAAUAAAAAUGUCCCUAUUCUAGACUUGUACUCGGUAGUUUUGUUAUCACUACUAUUCUUCUCAUAUACUCUUACUGUGUUUAUACUUGUCCUUAUAUACCUAUUUGAUUUAAUAGAUGCUACUCAUCACUCUUAUCAGCUUGAAAUACCUUAAAAACUUUCAUGAAUAAUGUGUUUUAUUGUGUCUCAGUUGUAUCCUUAGAUUCUGGUAACUUUAGCUUGCUUUUGAACAGUGAAAUUGGCAAAUAUCUGGUUGUUCUAACUCCCUGGUCUCCAUACCCAACUUUUCUGGUCUUACUUGUCUUUGGUGUCUAAUUGUUAAGGGUAACUAUAAUAGAACUUCUGGAGUCUGCACAGGCUUCAGAGUAUAGAGUCAAGUCUUUGGUUAAUUUUUAUUUCUUUGUUUCAAAAAAAUAGUUCAUAAGAUAAUUAUCUCUUAGUCUUUAUUUCCUUAUGAAUAUAAAGCAAAAAUCUAGUUACAGUCUAUUUUUCUGCUUUGAAUGUGUCCAUUGUUUUAAUAAUGUAUGCAUUCUUUCUUAUAGAGACUACACCAUAUAAUUGUGACAAAGAAUGGACAAAAUGGAAAUGGUUCUUUCUGUUUAAAAUAACACUUUGAGCUGGAAGACUGUAAUUUCUCUCUCCCUCAUAAUCUCUCUGUCAUUUCUCUCUCUCUCUCUCUCUCUCUCUCUCUCUCUCUCUCCAUGAAACAUCUUCAUGUAUCUAUCUUGUGUUACCUUAUAUAGUGUCUGGAUCAUAAGUAUGAUAAUUUUAAAAGAACACAGCAUGUCCCAAUACAUGUGUUCUUAUUAGGUGUGUUUGGAUCAUACUUAUAUCUCACGGCAAUUCCAGAAUCGAUGUGGAAGGUAGCUACACAAAGUCAUGAACACCAACAGGCAUGGUCUCCAAAAAGAGUCUAGUUCAAUUGCUUUAGAAAGGAAACAACAUCUGAAGUUCUUGGAAGAUCUUUACACUGACACAAAAUCGCCAAUAAAACUAAUAAAUGGUAGAAAUUAAUAUUUUCAAUAUUUAAGCAAAACAUUCAGUCAAGAUAAAAUCCCAUAUUUCAGUUGUUUAUCAUUAUUCUUUAUCUGGAUGUAGCCAUCUCUAUACAUUUAAAUCUUUAUCCCCUCUACAUUUUUAAUAUAAGGUUUAGUAUAAAGUUUUCUUAUUUUAGAUAAUGUACAUUUUAAAUAUGUUGCAAACAAUUUUCAUAUUAUAAAUGUUAAUGAUGCAGCAAGCUAAUGUAUGUCGAAAAAUGUAAAAGUCUACCUCUGCUUCCUCUCAAAGAAAAUAUAAUAAAUUUGUUUCUAUCUUAAUUUUCCAUAUGCUCUUAGUACAACUUACUGGGUUUUAAUUUCUUAUGAAGCUUCAUAAAAUAAAACUUCCCAUGCCACUGAAACACACACAAUUUUAUGCCAACAACUCAGAAGUUCCUUUAAGUAGAGAAAUGACCUAUCUGAGUAUCAAAACUGCUGUGCACAAAUAGCACAUCAUUUUAAAUUAAUGGCACAGCUAGCUACAAGAUAAAAAUUUUAAAUGAUAUUACAAGUUGGAGACACAUUUUAAGUGAAGCAUGAUAGUGGUGCUAAGAAGCAAUGCAAUUUCAUAUUUGAAUCAAAUAACAUUUCUAUAGCAUGUUGAUGGAAAGAAAAAUUCCCACAUAAGUUCACAGAGUAAAAUAGUUUCAAACGUUUUUAACAUGUGACCUACCUUCUUUGUUAUAAUUGCAAGAGUUUUAUGCCAGAAAAUAGAAAUCUAUGUUUUGUUUCAAACAAAUUAUUUUCUUCCUGUCAGCCUGUGUUUAAAAAUCAAAGUUUUAAAUGAUUAAAAACUCACUUUCUUAUUAAUUAAAAAUAACUUGACCAGAUUUAGUGGAAAACUUUAAUGGGUUAUCAGUAAAUCAUUUAUACAAUAAAUCUGUUAUUGAUUCAAUCAGUUGAAUAGUCCUCUAUUAUUUGCCUUGUCAAAUUUGAGUGGUGUUAUUAGUCAGAAAGUUAAGCUGAGGCAUUAAAAUAGCCCCACAUGUUUUGUCAUUCUCUGUUAUGUUAGGGCAAACUCUUAGAAUAAAAAAUAUAAAAAAGACAAAACCAUAAAUGUACUUCUUUGAUGAAUGUGUAUAAGAUAUACAUAGCCAUGUAAAAAUCAGCCAGAUCAAGUAGAAUGCUUCCAGAAACAAAGUCUCCCUCAUUUCUACAUUCAUUUAUUAAUGUUCCUUGAUAAAGUUCAACAAUUUUCUAAGCCUUCAUCAUAGAUUUUUUGCCUACUGCAGAAAACUAUAUAUUCCAUUGUGAUUGAUUUUUUGUACUUUAAAAUAUGUUUGUAAAAUUCAUUCAUGUUGUUGUAUGUUCUGGUAGUUCAUUCAUUUUCAUUUUCAUGUAGCAAUCCGUGUAUAAGAUAUCUGAUUUUAUGUAUUUAUUAUAUUUUUGAUGGGCAUUUGGGUUGUUUCUAAUUUGGAACUCAAAUAAUGGUGUUUGUUAGUAACAUUAUUAUUAAUGCCAUUUGCUGCAAAUAAGCUCACACAAAUCAGAAAGAAAAUGAGCUAAGCCAGUUUCAAAAUGUGAAAAAAAAUAUUGAGUAUUUACAAAAUAGGAUUUCCAUAUGGUCAAUAGACAUGUAAAAAUAUGUUCAAAAUAAUUAUUCAUUAAUAAAAUGUAAAUUAAAACCCAAUGAGAUACCACAACACACUACACAGAAUGGCAGAAAAUAGAAAGUAAUGCCAAAUAUUGGUAAGGAUAUUGAAAAACAAGAGUUUUCACAUAUUGCUGCUGAUUCUGUAAACUGAUAUAACAGCUAACUUGUAUUGUUUAACAGUAUCUAAAAAAGCUAAACAAAUGUUUCUUUCUGAUGUAAAUUUUCCAAAAAAAUUCAACAAGACAUAUGGAGAUAUGUUUAUUGUCCACUAUUCAUAAUGGCCACCUUCAUUUUCUAGGCUAUUUCAACUGGUUGUAGUAUUCUAGGUGGAUAUAUUUUCUCUCAGCCUGUCACAAAUACCAUUAAAUGUCAUCUGUUUUCAUAAUUUACGUUGAAAGAUGAAUAGUUAUUCAUAUCGUUGUUCCAUUUAAAUUAAUCUGUUUUCUGCCUCUGUUAUUGAAUUUGUUCAUUUUGUUUUAAUAACAUUAUUAGCUCUACCUAUGCAGAGUUUCCUUCCAAGGAAAUAGUUCUUUAAAUGCCGUUUCAUUAUUUUUCCUCUCUUGUACUUCAUAUACAUGCAUAGUAGAAACUUACACUGCUUCUCAUCUGUUCCUUUCUCUUUCUCUCUUAAAUAAUGCAUGCUAUGUUAUCCUCUGCUCCAUGAUAUAUGCACAUAUGUAUAUAUAUUACACUGUCUAUAUUACACUGUCUAAACAAGUUCAUGCGGUUCAUACCCGCACAAACCUCAGUUUAAAUAUCUUAACUCUCCUAUCUUUAGUUUACUAACCCCCUCUUCUGCUGGAUCUGAUCUAAUUUUUAAAACAGAUUUAUUCAAGUCUUAUCUACAUAAAAAUAAAUCUAUCAAUUGUAUUAAUUGGUAAUACAUUUAUAGAAUUGUACAAUCACAACAAUCCAUCUCUAAAACAUUUGCAUCACUCCAAACUGUUUCUUUCUACCUUUUCACACUUAAACCGUGCCUUUCCCAGACAUGGCAGCAACUAAUCUGGUUUCUGUAUCUGUACAUCUGCCUUUUCAGGUCAUUCCAAUAAAUGUAUAUCAUAUAAUACAUGGUAUUUUGUAAUUGCCUUCUUUCACUUAGCAUAAUGCUUUUGAGGUUUAUCAAUGUUGUACUAUGUAAUUAUGCUUUUUUCCCUUUGUAUUGCUGUAUAGUAUUUCACUGUCUUGAUAAACAAUGGUUCAUAGAUCCAUUUACCAGCUAAUGGACAUUUGAAUUGUUUCCACUUUUUGGCCGUUAUGAAAGUUGCUGCUAUGAACAUUCACAUUAUGUCUUUGUGUGGAAAUAUUUCUUGUUGCUUUUAUUUUUCUGGGUUGAUACCUAGGAUUGGAAUUUCUGGGGUUUAUGAUAAAUUCAUGUUUACCUUUUUUUUUUUUUUUUUUUUUUUUUGAGACAGGGUCUUUCUCU